AUCCGAUACGUAAUGUGAAUUGCAGAAUUCAGUGAAUCAUCGAAUCUUUGAACGCAUAUUGCGCUCUUUGGUAUUCCGAAGAGCAUGCUUGUUUGAGUAUCGGUAAACAACUCAAAGCUUUUGAUUUUCUUUGAAACCUUUGGACUUGAGCAAACCCAACACCAGUCUUUUUCAGAUCGGCAGCGGGUUGCUUGAAAUGCAGGUGCAGCUGGAAAUUCUCCUGAGCUAAAAGCAUAUUCAUUUAGUCCCGCCAAGCGGAUUAUUACUUUUGGUGCAGCUAACAUAAAGGGAGUUUGACCGUAUUGGCUGACUGAUUCAGGAUUUCAUAAUGGUCGGCAACGAUUAUUGUUAAACUCGAUCUCAAAUUAAGUAAGACUACCCGCUAAACUUAA
rnacentral:misc_RNA from 1 species